rnacentral:rRNA from 1 species
GAAGGCACACUGACACGUAGGUGAAGUGGUUUACCCAUGGAGCUGAAGUCAGUCGAAGAUACCAGCUGGCUGCAACUGUUUAUUAAAAACACAGCACUGUGCAAACACGAAAGUGGACGUAUACGGUGUGACGCCUGCCCGGUGCCGGAAGGUUAAUUGAUGGGGUCAGCGCAAGCGAAGCUCCUGAUCGAAGCCCCGGUAAACGGCGGCCGUAACUAUAACGGUCCUAAGGUAGCGAAAUUCCUUGUCGGGUAAGUUCCGACCUGCACGAAUGGCGUAAUGAUGGCCAGGCUGUCUCCACCCGGGACUCAGUGAAAUUGAACUCGCUGUGAAGAUGCAGUGUACCCGCGGCAAGACGGAAAGACCCCGUGAACCUUUACUAUAGCUUGACACUGAACACUGGUCCUUGAUGUGCAGGAUAGGUGGGAGGCUUUGAAGUGUGGACGCCAGUCUGCAUGGAGCCAUCCUUGAAAUACCACCCUUUAAUGGCUGGUGUUCUAACGUGGGCCCGUGAACCGGGUUGCGGACAGUGUCUGGUGGGUAGUUUGACUGGGGCGGUCUCCUCCUAAAGAGUAACGGAGGAGCACGAAGGUUGGCUAAUCCUGGUCGGACAUCAGGAGGUUAGUGCAAUGGCAUAAGCCAGCUUGACUGCGAGCGUGACGGCGCGAGCAGGUGCGAAAGCAGGUCAUAGUGAUCCGGUGGUUCUGAAUGGAAGGGCCAUCGCUCAACGGAUAAAAGGUACUCCGGGGAUAACAGGCUGAUACCGCCCAAGAGUUCAUAUCGACGGCGGUGUUUGGCACCUCGAUGUCGGCUCAUCACAUCCUGGGGCUGAAGUAGGUCCCAAGGGUAUGGCUGUUCGCCAUUUAAAGUGGUACGCGAGCUGGGUUUAGAACGUCGUGAGACAGUUCGGUCCCUAUCUGCCGUGGGCGCUGGAAGAUUGAGGGGGGCUGCUCCUAGUACGAGAGGACCGGAGUGGACGCAUCACUGGUGUUCGGGUUGUCAUGCCAAUGGCACUGCCCGGUAGCUACAUGCGGAAGAGAUAAGUGCUGAAAGCAUCUAAGCACGAAACUUGCCCCGAGAUGAAUCUUCCCUGAGCCUUUAAGGCUCCUGAAGGAACGUUGAAGACGACGACGUUGAUAGGCCGGGUGUGUAAGCGCAGCGAUGCGUUGAGCUAACCGGUACUAAUGAACCGUGAGGCUUAACCUUACAACGCCGAAG